rfam:Camelus ferus unplaced genomic scaffold scaffold2382, whole genome shotgun sequence.
GAGGGUACAGCCCAAGUGGCAGAGCGCAUGCUUAGCAUGCACGAGGUCCUGGGUUCAAUCCCCGGUACCUCCU